rnacentral:rRNA from 1 species
UACAGAGGUCCCAAGCGUUGUUCGGAUUCACUGGGCGUAAAGGGUGCGUAGGCGGUUGGGUAAGUCUGUCGUGAAAUCUCCGAGCCUAACUCGGAAACUGCGUCGGAUACUAUUCAACUCGAGGAAUGGAGGGGAGACUGGAAUUCUCGGUGUAGCAGUGAAAUGCGUAGAUAUCGAGAGGAACACCAGUGGCGAAGGCGAGUCUCUGGACAUUUCCUGAUGCUGAGGCACGAAAGCCAGGGGAGCAAACGGG